CCUACGGGUGGCAGCAGUAGGGAAUAUUGCUCAAUGGGGGAAACCCUGAAGCAGCAACGCCGCGUGGAGGAUGACGGUUUUCGGAUUGUAAACUCCUUUUGUUAGAGAAGAUAAUGACGGUAUCUAACGAAUAAGCACCGGCUAACUCCGUGCCAGCAGCCGCGGUAAUACGGAGGGUGCAAGCGUUACUCGGAAUCACUGGGCGUAAAGGGCGCGUAGGCGGGAUAGCAAGUCAGAUGUGAAAUCCUAUGGCUUAACCAUAGAACUGCAGUUGAAACUGUUAUUCUUGAGUAAGCGAGAGGUAGGUGGAAUGCGUGGUGUAGCGGUAAAAUCCGUAGAGAUCAAGAGGAAUACUGAUUGCGAAGGCGACCUGCUAGAACAUAACUGACGCUGAUGCGCGAAAGCGUGGGGAGCAAACAGGAUUAGAUACCCGUGUAGUC
rnacentral:rRNA from 1 species